CAAACUACGGCCUGCAGGCCACAUCCAGCCUGCAGGACCAUCCUGCCCGGCCCCUGAGUUCCUGGCCUGGGAGGCUCACCCGUGGCUCCUCCCACGCUGUUCCCCUUCUCCUGCAGCCACGCAGCUGCACGGGCAGCAGGGCUGCAAGCUUCUGCCAUUCUGAAUGGCAUGUGUAUUCCAGAGCAGAGGAGUAUGGGGUGCAGGGAAGGACCCGAGACUAAGCCCAAGAGACCCGAUUUAGGGUUGUGGAAAAGUUUUAGAACCCAUCAUGAAGGGAACAUUGGUUACAAAGACUACAUGACACCAGGUAUAAGAGAUCUAAAUGUCAGAGGGAAACAGAAAGAAAGCAACAGUUGGAUUUCAAAGCUAAGAAGAUGGCAGAGCAUUGCCAGUUCAGUGCUUUUUCAGAGGAAGGCCAGAAGCUAUCUAGAUGUCCUUUCUUGAUGUUACAUC